GGAGAGGUGUCCGAGGGGUUGAAGGAGCGCGCCUCGAAAGCGCGUGCGCCUCUAAACCGGGCGCCGCGGGUUCAAAUCCCGCCCUCUCCGCCA
rnacentral:tRNA from 1 species